GGAGAGAUGACUCAGUGGGUAAGAGUAUUUGUUGGUUUAGCAGAGGAUCUGGGUUCAAUCCCCAGUACCUACA
rnacentral:tRNA from 1 species